AAAACAAAAAGAAAAAUUCCAUUUUCCUUCCUCAUUCAUUG
rnacentral:sRNA from 1 species